AACGAACGCUGGCGGCAGGCUUAACACAUGCAAGUCGAACGCCCCGCAAGGGGAGUGGCAGACGGGUGAGUAACGCGUGGGAAUCUACCCAGUUCUACGGAACAACUGAGGGAAACUUCAGCUAAUACCGUAUACGCCCUACGGGGGAAGGAUUUAUCGGAAUUGGAUGAGCCCGCGUAAGAUUAGCUAGUUGGAGGGGUAAAGGCCUACCAAGGCGACGAUCUUUAGCUGGUCUGUGAGGAUGAUCAGCCACACUGGGACUGAGACACGGGACAGCAUCCGACGGGAGGCAGAAGGGGGGAAGAUUGGAGAAUGGGCGCAAGUCUGAUCCGGCCAUGCCGCGUGAGUGAUGAAGGCCGUAGGGUUGUGAGGCUCUUUCAGUGGGGACGAUAAUGACGGUACCCACAGAAGAAGCCCCGGCGAACUUCGUGCCAGCCGCCGCAGUAAAAC
rnacentral:rRNA from 1 species